GACGAGCGCUGGCGGCGUGCUUAACACAUGCAAGUCGAACGGAAAGGCCCUGCUUUUGUGGGGUGCUCGAGUGGCGAACGGGUGAGUAACACGUGAGUAACCUGCCCUUGACUUUGGGAUAACUUCAGGAAACUGGGGCUAAUACCGGAUAGGAGCUCCUGCUGCAUGGUGGGGGUUGGAAAGUUUCGGCGGUUGGGGAUGGACUCGCGGCUUAUCAGCUUGUUGGUGGGGUAGUGGCUUACCAAGGCUUUGACGGGUAGCCGGCCUGAGAGGGUGACCGGCCACAUUGGGACUGAGAUACGGCCCAGACUCCUACGGGAGGCAGCAGUGGGGAAUAUUGCACAAUGGGCGGAAGCCUGAUGCAGCAACGCCGCGUGCGGGAUGACGGCCUUCGGGUUGUAAACCGCUUUCGCCUGUGACGAAGCGUGAGUGACGGUAAUGGGUAAAGAAGCACCGGCGAACUACGU
rnacentral:rRNA from 1 species